GGUAGCUAAUACCGCAUAACGUCGCAAGACCAAAGAGGGGGACCUUCGGGCCUCUUGCCAUCAGAUGUGCCCAGAUGGGAUUAGCUAGUAGGUGGGGUAACGGCUCACCUAGGCGACGAUCCCUAGCUGGUCUGAGAGGAUGACCAGCCACACUGGAACUGAGACACGGUCCAGACUCCUACGGGAGGCAGCAGUGGGGAAUAUUGCACAAUGGGCGCAAGCCUGAUGCAGCCAUGCCGCGUGUAUGAAGAAGGCCUUCGGGUUGUAAAGUACUUUCAGCGAGGAGGAAGG
rnacentral:rRNA from 1 species